GAUGAACGCUGGCGGCGUGCCUAAUACAUGCAAGUCGAGCGAAUGGAUUAAGAGCUUGCUCUUAUGAAGUUAGCGGCGGACGGGUGAGUAACACGUGGGUAACCUGCCCAUAAGACUGGGAUAACUCCGGGAAACCGGGGCUAAUAGCGGAGAACAUUUUGAACCGCAUGGUUCGAAAUUGAAAGGCGGCUUAGGCUGUCACUUAUGGAUGGACCCGCGUCGCAUUAGCUAGUUGGUGAGGUAAAGGCUCACCAAGGCAACGAUGCGUAGCCGACCUGAGAGGGUGAUCGGCCACACUGGGACUGAGACACGGCCCAGACUCCUACGGGAGGCAGCAGUAGGGAAUCUUCCGCAAUGGACGAAAGUCUGACGGAGCAACGCCGCGUGAGUGAUGAAGGCUUUCGGGUCGUAAAACUCUGUUGUUAGGGAAGAACAAGUGCUAGUUGAAUAAGCUGGCACCUUGACGGUACCUAACCAGAAAGCCACGGCUAACUACGUGCCAGCCGCCGCCGUAA
rnacentral:rRNA from 1 species